GAUUUCUGGCUUGAAACAUCCGGCCGGCCACGGUUUCGUGUGUUAGUGCUUGAUGUUCUGGCCAUCCUUCCAAUGGCUAUCUGCCUUUCUUCAUUGAAUGGCAGGUGGUAUUGGAUCUUUUACUUUGAAAAAAUUAGAGUGUUUCAAGCAGGCUUUAUGCUAUGAAUACAUUAGCAUGGAAUAAUAAUUUAGGACUUCGGUUCUAUUUUGUUGGUUUCUAGGACUGAAGUAAUGAUUGAUAGGGAUAGUUGGGGGUGCUAGUAUUCAGCGGCCAGAGGUGAAAUUCUCGGAUUCGCUGAAGACUAACUUAUGCGAAAGCAUU
rnacentral:rRNA from 1 species